CCUCGGGGCGCUCCAGUGAGGAAUAUUGCACAAUGGGGGGAACCCUGAUGCAGCAACGCCGCGUGGAGGAUGACGCAUUUCGGUGUGUAAACUCCUUUUAUAUGUCAAGAAAAUGACGGUAGCAUAUGAAUAAGCACCGGCUAACUCCGUGCCAGCAGCCGCGGUAAUACGGAGGGUGCAAGUGUUACUCGGAAUCACUGGGCGUAAAGGACGCGUAGGCGGGUUGGAAAGUCAGGUGUGAAAUCCUACAGCUUAACUGUAGAACUGCACUUGAAACUUCUAAUCUAGAGUAUGGGAGGGGGAGAUGGAAUUAGUGGUGUAGGGGUAAAAUCCGUAGAUAUCACUAGGAAUACCUAAAGCGAAGGCGAUCUCCUGGAACAUUACUGACGCUAAGGCGUGAAAGCGUGGGGAGCAAACAGGAUUAGAUACCCGUGUAGUC
rnacentral:rRNA from 1 species